UAGAGUUUGAUGAUGGCUCAGGAUGAACGCUAGCUACAGGCUUAACACAUGCAAGUCGUGGGGCAGCGGGUGCUUAGCUUGCUAAGUAUGCCGGCGACCGGCGCACGGGUGAGUAACGCGUACCGAACCUGCCCAUCACACAGGGAUAGGCUUGCGAAAGCAAGAUUAAUACCUGAUGGUCUCAGUUGUAUGCAUGUAUGAUUGAGUAAAGCCUUCGGGCGGUGAUGGAUGGCGGUGCGUCCCAUUAGGAUGCUGGCGGGGUAACGGCCCACCAAUCCUUCGAUGGGUAGGGGUUCUGAGAGGAAGGUCCCCCACAUUGGAACUGACAUACGGUCCAAACUCCUACGGGAGGCAGCAGUGAGGAAUAUUGGUCAAUGGGCGACAGCCUGAACCAGCCAAGUAACGUGCGGGAUGAAGGCCCUUGUGGUCGUAAACCGCUUUUAUCAAUGAAUAAAGUGCAUCACGUGUGGUGUCAUUGCAUGUAGCUGAAGAAAAAGGACCGGCUAAUUCCGUGCCAGCAGCCGCGGUAAUACGGAAGGUCCGGGCGUUAUCCGGAAUUAUUGGGUUUAAAGGGAGCGCGGGCGGGAGUAUAAGUCAGCUGUUAAAUAUCACGGCCCAACUCUGUUAUGCAGUUGAAACUAUAUUUCUUGAGUACGCACAGGGAUGGCGGAAUUCAGGGUGUAGCGGUGAAAUGCUUAGAUAUCCUGACGAACUCCGAUCGCGAAGGCAGCCAUCCGGGGCGUAACUGACGCUGAGGCUCGAAGGUGCGGGUAUCGAACAGGAUUAGAUACCCUGGUAGUCCGCACGGUAAACGAUGAAUACUCGCAGUUCGGUCUUUAUGGUCGAGUUGUCCAGCGAAAGCGUUAAGUAUUCCACCUGGGGAGUACGCCGGCAACGGUGAAACUCAAAGGAAUUGACGGGGGCCCGCACAAGCGGAGGAACAUGUGGUUUAAUUCGAUGAUACGCGAGGAACCUUACCCGGGCUUGAACCAAGAGUGCGGAGUGCAGAGAUGCGCUUUUUCUUCGGACACUUUUGGAGGUGCUGCAUGGUUGUCGUCAGCUCGUGCCGUGAGGUGUCGGCUUAAGUGCCAUAACGAGCGCAACCCUUUUCUACGUUUGCCAUCGGGUAAUGCCGGGAACUCCGUGGAUACUGCCGCCGCAAGGCGGAGGAAGGUGGGGAUGACGUCAAAUCAGCACGACCCUUACGUCCGGGGCUACACACGUGUUACAAUGGUCGGAGCAGCAGGAAGCUACCUGGCGACAGGAUGCUGAUCCCCAAACCCGGCCUCAGUUCGGACUGGAGUCUGCAACCCGACUCCACGAAGCCGGAUUCGCUAGUAAUCGCGCAUCAGCCAUGGCGCGGUGAAUACGUUCCCGGGCCUUGCACACACCGCCCGUC
rnacentral:rRNA from 1 species